CCAAGCCCGGCUGCAGUUGAACAACACUUGCACUGUCUGCACACGGCCACCAACAACGCGGUGCAACGAUGACAGGGACCGAACGACGACGACGACGACGACGACGACAACGACAACGACAACGACAGCAGCACGCUUCCUCCUGUAUAUCUCUAGCAUAGAGCUAGCUAUCUUCUUUCAUUUCUUGCGUGCUCUCUGCUGUGCUCUCUGGACAACUAACCCGUCCGCUGUCGCUGGGGUGAUCGUUCUCCUGCUGCCCCUGUUGGAUACGGCUGCAUAGCGGAAUAAGAAAAGACGUGUCCUGCUUGGUGUAUAGCCUCAUCAAGACAUUAAACCUUGAAUACGAGCCCGUUAUUUGCGCACAGACGCGCACAGGACUUUUCUUUCACCCCGUAUUUCGUACUGACAACACCUGUGAGGCGAGGAUUGACGGAGUUCGUUCUGUCAGCGACAUCAACCACCCAUUUUUUAUCUUCGCCGAGUUCCCACCGAGUCUAUCCCAUCUACAUAUUGAGUAGAUGUAACAAUCACCGACAUUCGUUUCUCAAGGAGUCUUGCGCUCUUCUCCCCAUCCAACUUCGUCAGCCAGAUGACUGACGUCCGUUCGUUUCUUCAAUGAAAUUAACGAUAUUAAUAUAUCGUGAUCCUCUGGCUUCAUUCCUCCAGGUGACCGACACCCGCUCGUUUCCUUUUCGACCAAACACUCGUUCUAACACAAAAUCGUGAAAACUCGGGGAUUCAAUCUACUUGAAGUAAAUUAUUCACAUUCGUUUCUUUGACUUUAUCCUCCGGCCAGACCGACCGUUUACGCGCCGGUUCAAUCGGGCAUAUCGUCCCGUCUCACGUUCUCUUGUCGCGUAUUCAAUCAAUCGUAUGGCCAGGAGGGCUGACCUAACUUCCAAUCGCUCAAUUUACAAAGACUUAAACCAGCUCGUCACAAGGGGUCAACACCUAGAUCC
rnacentral:sRNA from 1 species